rnacentral:rRNA from 1 species
UACGGAGGAUGCGAGCGUUAUCCGGAUUUAUUGGGUUUAAAGGGUGCGUAGGCGGUCCGUUAAGUCAGCGGUAAAAUUGCGGGGCUCAACCCCGUCGAGCCGUUGAAACUGGCAGACUUGAGUUGGCGAGAAGUACGCGGAAUGCGCGGUGUAGCGGUGAAAUGCAUAGAUAUCGCGCAGAACUCCGAUUGCGAAGGCAGCGUACCGGCGCCAGACUGACGCUGAGGCACGAAAGUGUGGGGAUCGAACAGG